rnacentral:rRNA from 1 species
CCUGAGUAAAGUGGCGUACGGGUGAGUAACACGUGGAUCAUCUACCUCCUAGUGGGGAAUAACCCUUGGAAACGAGGGCUAAUACCGCAUAAGCCUGGAAAGGGAAAGCGGCGUCUUAAAAACGACGCGCUGGGAGAGGAGUCCGCGGCCGAUUAGCUAGUUGGCAGGGUAAUGGCCUACCAAGGCGACGAUCGGUAGCCGGCCUGAGAGGGCACACGGCCACACUGGAACUGAAACACGGCCCAG